GGAAGGUGUUGGAAUUUGGGAAGUUUGGUUUCCCUUGAGGAGUGGGGCUUCCGGAGCUAACGCGUUAAGUCGACCGCCCGGGUUAGUACGGCCGCAAGGUUAAAACUCAAAUGAAUUGACGGGGGCCCGCACAAGCGGUGGAGCAUGUGGUUUAAUUCGAUGCAACGCGAAGAACCUUACCUACUCUUGACAUCCAAAGAACUUAGCAGAGAUGCUUUGGUGCCUUCGGGAACUCUGAGAAAGGUGCUGCAUGGCUGUUGUCAGCUCGUGUUGUGAAAUGUUGGGUUAAGUCCCGCAACGAGCGCAACCCUUAUCCUUUGUUGCCAGCGGUUAUGUCGGGAACUCAAUUGAGACUGCCAGUGAUAAACUGGAGGAAGGUGGGGAUGACGUCAAGUCAUCAUGGCCCUUACGAGUAGGGGUACACACUUGCUACUAUGGCAUAU
rnacentral:rRNA from 1 species